ACCACAGUCAGCGAUGGAUGUCUUGGCUUGAGCAACGAUGAAGGGCGCAGCGAACUGCGAUAAGCACUGUGAAUUGCAGAACUCCGUGAAUCAAUAGAGACUUGAAUGUGCAAUGCGCUUUUGGGACAUCCCUGAAAGCAUGCUCGCUUCAGUGUUACCU
rnacentral:rRNA from 1 species